rnacentral:rRNA from 1 species
GAUCCUGGCUCAGGAUGAACGCUGGCGGCGCGCCUAACACAUGCAAGUCGAACGAGUAAGACGCCUUCGGGCGUGGAUAGAGUGGCGAACGGGUGAGUAACACGUGACCAACCUGCCCCCUCCUCCGGGACAACCUCGGGAAACCGAGGCUAAUACCGGAUACUCCGGGCCCCCCGCAUGGGGGCCGGAAGCCCUGGCGGGAGGGGAUGGGGUCGCGGCCCAUCAGGUAGACGGCGGGGUAACGGCCCACCGUGCCUACUACGGGUAGCCGGG